rnacentral:rRNA from 1 species
GCUAGUAAUGGCAGGUCAGCAUACUGCCGUGAAUACGUUCCCGGGCCUUGUACACACCGCCCGUCACACCAUGAGAGUUGGGAAUACCCGAAGCCUGUGAGCUAACUUUACGAGGCAGCAGUCGAAGGUAGAAUCAAUGAUUGGGGUGAAGUCGUAACAAGGUACC